UGGGGAAUUUUCCGCAAUGGGCGCAAGCCUGACCGAGCGAUGCCGCGUGCGGGAUGAAGGCCUUCGGGUUGUAAACCGCUGUCAGUUGGGAGGAAGGACUCGUGAAGAGCGAGUUUUGACCUAUCUUCAGAGGAAGUCCGGGCUAAGUUCGUGCCAGCAGCCGCGGUAACACGAACCGGACAAACGUUAUUCGGAAUUAUUGGGCUUAAAGGGUGCGUAGGCGGCCAUGUAGGUGGGGUGUGAAAUCCCUCGGCUCAACCGAGGAACUGCGCCCCAAACCACAUGGCUAGAGGGAGACAGAGGUAAGCGGAACUGAUGGUGGAGCGGUGAAAUGCGUUGAUAUCAUCAGGAACACCGGUGGCGUAAGCGGCUCACUGGGUCUCUUCUGACGCUGAGGCACGAAAGCUAGGGUAGCGAACGGGAUUAGAUACCCGUGUAGUCC
rnacentral:rRNA from 1 species